AUUUUCCUCACUUCAUAUCGCUCAUCCUGCAAAGGAGCUGCUGCAGUGUGAAGAUAAAUAUUAAUAUUCAUGAGCAAAGCUUUCUGUUCUGUUCUUUCCUCUGUUUCUAUGUUACCACAUCAGAGGGCAUCGCGGGUUUUUUUUAUUUUUUAAAACCACUUCUCUCUAACAUCUUGCACGCCAAGCUUGUAAUUAGGUCCAGUGAGAUGCACAUUGCGUCGUUCUGACUUUUAGAACCACGUGCACUCUGUGUGUGUGCACAUCGUGGAGGUAGAGAUGUUGUCGUAGGCCAGAACACGCAGCGAACCCCAAAUAAAAACAUAAAAAAUGAACACAGCGCAAAGACACAGAAUUGUGGAUACUGUCGGAGAGAACUGACAAUAGAUGAAAGGCGAGCAGCGGGGAGAGAGAGAGCACCGACGCAACUCGCGUCCUGUCUGUUUCUUUAAAUAGGUGAAAGGAUUUCUGCGGGUAGAGUGACAGUCCCUGUAAACGGCUCCGUCCUCCGCGUCACCUCGCCGCAUAAUGACUUCAAAUGAAGGCGACUGUAAAGUGUCAGAAUGUUAUUAAAAGAGGUUCAAAUGUACACAAGAAUAAUGUGGUUCAUUUAGUCGACUUUAUCAGUUUCUCUGCAUUGCAGCUGCUUGUUUUUAUGACACACCUGGCAACCACUGACCUGUGAACUGACUGUGAUACUCGAGGUACAGUGUUCAAAAUACUUUCCAUGAAUAUAACAAUACAGUCGUCUUUUUUUGUUUUAACACGUUUAGGAGAUCCUGCGACAUACUCUGGUGAAUCUACACAAUACACAAAAAUCCCAAAUUAAAGAGAUGAUAAUGGAGAAAAAAAUGUGAGACUUACACUCCGGAAAAUAGCAGUAGUGAAUAAACACAUAAAUGACUCCACCCCCUCCAGAUUGUUGACACAAUUACUCAAAAACAACAAAUGCCCUCGUCUUAGACGUCUCUACAAUUAAAGGGGAUAUCAGGAGUAUAAAGUGAUUUAAAUUUGAGGCACCAGACAAAAACAAAAAGCAAGUUUGUUUUGCAUGUAUAACACAGGAAUUAAAGUUCUCUGUCGCUACGAUUGGGCUAUCAAAAGGCAGGUUCACGCUGAGCCGCUCUGAUGCAAAAUCAAGGCUGGACACACAAUAUAAAAUUUGCCAUGCACGCUACGUUCAAAAAUCGAUUUUGAGAAUAACGUUUUUUUUUUUUGUUUGUUUGGCUUUUUUUGCUUGCAGCGAGUCCCUAAGUCUAUUCCUCUGUGUCCUGUGUGCACGCUGCGGAAGGGAGGUGGUGUGUUUGAGUGUGUCACAGCGAGCAGAGUGCAGUGUUUUACAAACAUAUUUUUAAACUUUUUGUUUCUUUUAAAGUCUGCUCUGUGUCCUCGCUGUGGUUAAACUAAAAACACAGCUGCAGACCCCCAAUGCAUAACAAGAAACAUCAAUGCUUUGUUUCCCCCCAAAAUAUGGGUAAAAUCUCUUUCUGAUGACAGCUGAUAUAAACUGCACUCAAAACCUUCGUACCUCUCGAUCAGGUCGCACUUUUCAGAUGGAAAGAUGGUGUUGGGGGGGUAUGUACCCUCCGCAACACCCCUUUCUUAAAGGUCCACUUUUGAAAGCAUUUUUUUCAAACUACUACUACUUAUGAUAAUUUUAACAACUAAAAUGUUUAAAUCAGUAUUACGCAAUUUUUUACAAUAUUUCUGCACUAAGUUUAAUUGUUGAGCCAUAUAAAAUAAGUUUACUUAAUUUAACUUUUCUGCAUAAAUAAAGCAACAUCUUUUUUUAACGUAGUGUCUAAGCUCAGCAUUACUGGGUCUGUUUAGGGUUCUAUCUUUAAAAUCAGGUCAGUUAGGAUGAGGGAAGCCAAAAAUAUAAAAAUGAUUACGGCUCUUAUGGUUAGUAAUCUUAUAAAACAUAAGUAGGCUGUGAUACUAAUUUUGAUGAAAGGCAAAGAAAAGGUGAAAA